GAUGAAGAACGUAGCGAAAUGCGAUAAGUAGUGUGAAUUGCAGAAUUCAGUGAAUCAUCGAAUCUUUGAACGCACAUUGCGCCCCUUGGUAUCCCGAGGGGCAUGCCUCUUCGAGCGUCAUUUCACCACUCAAGCCUGGCUUGGUGUUGGGCGACGUCCCCUUUGGGGACGCGCCUCGAAACGCUCGGCGGCGUGGCACCGGCUUUAAGCGUAGCAGAAUCUUUCGCUUUGGAAGUCGGGGCCCCGUCUGCCGGAAGACCUACUCGCAAGGUUGACCUCGGAUCAGGCAGGGAUACCCGCUGAACUUAAGCAUAUCAAUAAGCGGAGGA
rnacentral:misc_RNA from 1 species